rnacentral:rRNA from 1 species
UACGGAGGGAGCUAGCGUUGUUCGGAAUUACUGGGCGUAAAGCGCACGUAGGCGGCUUUGUAAGUUAGAGGUGAAAGCCCGGGGCUCAACUCCGGAAUUGCCUUUAAGACUGCAUCGCUCGAAUUGUGGAGAGGUAAGUGGAAUUCCGAGUGUAGAGGUGAAAUUCGUAGAUAUCGGAAGAACACAGUGGCGAAGGCGACUUACUGGACACAUAUUGACGCUGAGGUGCGAAAGCGUGGGGAGCAAACAGG